GAUGAACGCUGGCGGCGUGCCUAAUACAUGCAAGUCGAGCGAACAGACGAGGAGCUUGCUCCUCUGACGUUAGCGGCGGACGGGUGAGUAACACGUGGAUAACCUACCUAUAAGACUGGGAUAACUUCGGGAAACCGGAGCUAAUACCGGAUAAUAUAUUGAACCGCAUGGUUCAAUAGUGAAAGACGGUUUUGCUGUCACUUAUAGAUGGAUCCGCGCCGCAUUAGCUAGUUGGUAAGGUAACGGCUUACCAAGGCAACGAUGCGUAGCCGACCUGAGAGGGUGAUCGGCCACACUGGAACUGAGACACGGUCCAGACUCCUACGGGAGGCAGCAGUAGGGAAUCUUCCGCAAUGGGCGAAAGCUGGACGGAGCAACGCCGCGUGAGUGAUGAAGGUCUUCGGAUCGUAAAACUCUGUUAUUAGGGAAGAACAAAUGUGUAAGUAACUAUGCACGUCUUGACGGUACCUAAUCAGAAAGCCACGGCUAACUACGUG
rnacentral:rRNA from 1 species